CCCUUAGAUGUUCUGGGCCGCACGCGCGCUACACUGACGAAUGCAACGAGCUUAUAACCUUGGCCGAAAGGUCUGGGUAAUCUCCAAAUUUCGUCGUGAUGGGGUUAGAUUAUUGCAAUUAUUAAUCUUCAACGAGGAAUGCCUAGUAAGCGCAAGUCAUCAGCUUGCGUUGAUUACGUCCCUGCCCUUUGUACACACCGCCCGUCGCUCCUACCGAUUGAAUGGUCCGGUGAAGCGCUCGGACCGCGGCCUCUUGACGGUUUUCCGUCGAUUGGCUGUGGGAAGUUCGUUAAACCUUAUCAUUUAGAGGAAGGAGAAGUCGUAACA
rnacentral:rRNA from 1 species